AUACUUACCUGACAGGGGAGGUACCAUGGUCAUGAAGGUGAUUUUCUCAGGGUAAGGCUUAUCCAUUGCACUACAGAUGUGCUAAUCUCUGCAAUUUCCCCAAAUGUGGGAAACUUGAUUGCAUAAUUUGUGGUCAUGGGGGACUGUGUUCAUGCUUUCCCCUU
ensembl:snRNA U1 U1 spliceosomal RNA